rnacentral:tRNA from 1 species
GGGGCUGUAGCUCAGUGGCAGAGCACUUGCCUAGCAUGCAUGAGGCACUGGGUUCAAUCCUCAGCAUCACA